CAGUGAAGCGUAGCUUGUUGAAAAAGUAGUUCAUGAUGUCAACAUGUAUCUUCCUAUGCAGAGCUUUGAUCAGUCAGUGCCGAUCCUUGUGAGAAUUCCCAAACUGUUGUGGGGUCCUUUAGGUUCCUGCGAGCUUAUUGAAGUACUCAGGUGGAAUUCCAUUCGGCUCACAUUAGUCAUUGCCACACACAUUUGCGCAUUUGCACAUUGCAACUUCAUAGAAUGUUGUCGUAGUCAACUGAGCAACUGGUGCUACAGCUGCGAGUCGUGUGAGUGUUGUGAUUUACCCAGCAGCGGCAGAGGUGCAAAAAGGGUGCUAGAUGUAGUGAAAAGUAUCUAUUAGAGGUUGACAGGCACAAAAGCCUAGCACUGUACUUGUCCUGCUGCUGUCACUUAGUUGCCGUUAGCACAGCACAGUUGCAGAAGUAGUACUCCUUACACUGUGUACUUAUGUUGAUGGGCACCUUUGCAGGAAAGCUAAGCACCCUCGAGAAAAAACGUGCCAAGAUGGCAGCCUCUGCUGCGUCAGAUGAUUCAGCGUUUUAUUGCUUACACUAUAUGCAAAACAUGAGUCACUUGAAAGGGAGCAAAGUGCUGUUUGGGUUCUGUAAUAUCCUGUUGGUAUGCAUACAUUGAAGCUUGCAUAGUGCCCAAUGAAUGAAAUGAAAUAUUACUUCGUGCAUACAUCUACUGGUUUACAGGCCGAGUCUUACGGGAGCAUGAAGAGAAAAAUUAUUUGAACAUGUUAGCAAGUUUCUUGUAAAAUACUGAAUCAACAGCCACUCUUAUCAAAAUUUAGGAAUCUAAAGUUGAAUGCCUUGUUACUACUACUAAUGCUUGCAGGAACCGAGGUGCAACUGUGCCAUAAAAAUAUCCUCGCUAGAGGAUAAAAUUAAGGAGUUGCAAGAAGAGAAAGAGAAACUGAGUUUGGAGCUUCAACAAGCACGGGACUGCCUUGGUAAGUUUGUCUCAAGCACGGCGCUUCAUUACUACCUUCUAAGUAUAUUGAGUUGAAAAUAAUACUGCAUUUUAUUGUAUCCUCUGCUGGGCGGCUGGGAUGACCGGUGCUGGGGAGCUUGACCCGCAAGAGUGCCGUUGACUGGAGGCGGGGGAGGUUACAUGGCAGCGCUGACGUUCUGGUGCUGGUGAACUCGAGCGGGAAUCUACCUGGCUGGGCAUCCUUUUCUUUUCGUCAUGUCGCCAAGGCUAUGGAUAUGCACUGAGGAGGCUUCAAAAAUGGUGAAGAGGCUGAAGCACCUCGUAGAAAAGGCUGCGGGAGCAGAAGAGAAAUUGGUUUCUUCGCGCAAAGGUUCACUCUACAGACAUACCCAGCGACUUCAGCACUGAGUGUGAAGAACACUCUGUCGUCCCUGCUUGCCCGUGACUACACGGCUGCCAUAGCAAAUUAACUUAUUUAUUAUAUUUAUUUAUUUAUGGAUGGAUGCAAUAUUUCAAUGAAGGCCGUGCCUGACUGCCGCAUUCUAUGAAUAAACUUCUUUUAGUGCAAACUUG